UGUAGAGGGAGAAGGGCCUGGCUUCAGGGAGCUAGACAAGAGAAGAAAAUGAAGGCUUGACACAUGAAUUAGCCAUUUACGACACAUUUAUGGAAGGAAAGAGCAGUUGGUGCUUCCACCAUUUCAUUCUGAGAGAUUUUUGCCACCUACCAUCAGUAGAGAACCCACUGAUUCCAAUGGGACUUCUUACGGAGAAAGAUAUUACACUCUGUGCUCCAGUCGUUUCCCAGCCUUGGUCCAGCCCUACUCUAGUCUGCUCCAACCAUGCUCCCCUGCUCUGUUUCUGACUCCUGGAUCUGGAGUCUGGCUCCAACUAUUAGGCUGGAUCACCACUGCUACGACCACUAGGAGUGACCACCCAUAACCUGAUGAGUGACAGUUUGAGCAGCCUACUAAAAAAAGGAGAUCAGGAUCUUCAUAACCAGCAUGUGCACUGCAUCUUAGAAAAACUCAAGGAAAACCACCUCUGUGUGAAGCUUGAGAAAUGUCAGUUGACUGCAAUCUAAUGUAUCUGUUGUCAGCUGUUCCACGACCCCUUGGUGACCCAGAUCCAUCAGACCCUGGAUAACAUAGAUGCCCAAUCUGGCUCCAAAUUCAGGCUGCAAGAUGGCCUCCUCUAUGACAAGGACUGUAUUUAUGUUCUGGAGGAUCAAGCUAGACUCCAGGUCCUGAAACUGUCAUGGCAUGCCAGUUGAUGGUCACUUUGGCCAACCCAAGAUGUAGGGCCUGAUAUUGCAGUUUCUGGUGGCUUGGUCCACAUGCAUGCACCAAAGAAUAUGCAAGGCUCUGACAUUUGCUCCCAAACCUUGAAACCACUCAGCCUUCUCCAGCCUUUGCCCAUUUCCCCACCAACCCUGGCCUAUUGUAUCUAUAGACUCUGUUGUGGAGCUGCCUCAAUCUCAAGGGCACAAAUAUCUUCCCCUACAUGGGUUACCAACUGGCAUCAUGCUGGACUGUGGCCCCAGUUUGUCUCCAGUUUUUGACAGGAAUUUCAACGGCUUCUCAGCAUAAAGUCUCUCACCUUGUUUGCCUACCACCUGCAGACCAAUACGCAAACAGAACAAGUCAACUAGAUUCUAGAACAGUAUCUUCAUUGUUGCUUGAAUUACCCCCAGGACAACUGUUUUCUCUGCUUCACUAUGCAGAAUUCACCUUUAAUAAUGCAAUCCAUGCCUCAACAUAACAAAGCUCAUUCUGUGACUGUUUUCAUUCUCAAUUCCAUCAUGACAUACCCAUGAACUCCCCAGUGCCACAAGCUGCAGCUUGGGCUGCCCACCUACACCAAAAGCCCCAGGAGCAAUUGAUAUCCAUAAAUGAAACUUACAAACACCAUGCUGACCAAGGCUGUCGGACCUCUCUCAUCCCUAUUGACCCAGAACCUCAAGUUGGUCCACUUAUCAGCCAGACUCGAUCAUUAGUACUUGUGCCCAUUCAAGAUCUUGGAAGAGGUCAAUCCUGUAGCCUUCAAGCUACAAAUACCUGCUUCACUCAAGAUGCAUCCAGUAUUUCACAUUUCCCACCUUAAGCUAUGUACUGAACAUCCGUUCCCAAAUCACUCCAGCCCACCACCACUGCCCACAACCGUUAGGGAGCAAGAAUAAAUUAAUCUGGCAAAUCUUUAAAUCCUGGUGAACUGGAAGGGCUAUGAUCUGGAUGACUGAUCUUGGGAAAUUGCUGAAAACAUCCACACCACAGACCUACUACAGGAUUUCCACUGGGCUCACAGUCACUGGCUUCUAAUUUUCCCUUGGGGUGCUCUACCCUCACUCAGCCCCAGGCCCUGCCCCCACUCCACCUCUUCCCACCAUGCCUCUUUCAGCCUCCUCCCCUGAGUGCACCUUGUCACCACUCCUCCCCCACCCUCCC